GAUGAACGCUGGCGGCGUGCCUAAUACAUGCAAGUCGAGCGGCGCGUGCACGGGUGAGUAACACGUUGAUAACCUCCUAUAAGACUGGGAUUACUUCCGGAAACCGGAGGUUAACCGGAUACUUAUCCAUGGAUCCGGGCUGCAUUAGCUAGUUGGUCAGGUAACGGCUUACCAAGGCCACGAUGCAUAGCCGACCUGAGAGGGUGAUCGGCCACACUGGAACUGAGACACGGUCCAGACUCCUACGGGAGGCAGCAGUAGGGAAUCUUCCGCAAUGGGCGAAAGCCUGACGGAGCAACGCCGCGUGAAUGAUGAAGGUCUUCGGAUCGUAAACCUCUUUUAGUAGGGAAGCGGUACCUAAUCAGAAAGCCACGGCUAACUACGUGCCAGCAGCCGCGGUAAUAC
rnacentral:rRNA from 1 species